UACGUAGGCAGCGAGCGUUGUUCGGAAUUACUGGGCGUAAAGCGUGCGCAGGCGGUGAUGUAAGACAGUUGUGAAAUCCCCGGGCUCAACCUGGGAACUGCAUCUGUGACUGCAUCGCUGGAGUGCGGCAGAGGGGGAUGGAAUUCCGCGUGUAGCAGUGAAAUGCGUAGAUAUGCGGAGGAACACCGAUGGCGAAGGCAAUCCCCUGGGCCUGCACUGACGCUCAUGCACGAAAGCGUGGGGAGCAAGCAGG
rnacentral:rRNA from 1 species